GAUGAACGCUGGCGGCGUGCCUAAUACAUGCAAGUCGAGCGAACAGAUGAGGAGCUUGCUCCUCUCACGUUAGCGGCAGACGGGUGAGUAACACGUGGAUAACGUACCUGUAAUACUGGUAUAACCUCGGGAAUCCGGAGCUAAUCCCGUAUAAUCUACUGAACCGCAUGGUUCAAUAGUGAAAGACGGCUUUGCUGGCACUUAUCGCUGGAUCCGCGCCGCAUUAGCUAGUUGUUAAGUUAACGGGGUAUCAAGGCAACGAUGCGUAAACGACCUGACAGGCUGAUCGGCCACCCUAGAGCGGAGACGCCGUCCAGACUCCUACGGGAGGCAGCAGUCGGGAACCUGCCGCAAUGGGCGGGAGCCUGACGGAGCAACGCCGCGCCAGUGAUGAAGACCCUGGGUGCGGAAAGCUCUGUUAUGAGGGAAAAACAAAUGUGUCAGUAACCAUGCACGUCUUGACGGUACCUAGUCAAAAAGCCACGGCUAACUACGUG
rnacentral:rRNA from 1 species